AAACGGUUACGCGAAACGCUCGUCUCAUCAUAGCAAUGAAUGACAGCGAUCUUCUCAUAGAAUCGGGAUGGCGAUCGUUCAAUAAAAUCUUAUGUUAAAGUGAGGAUAAUGGAGCAUUUGAUUGGAAGGAGGCCGGAGUUUAUAGGUAACUGUCCUACGACCAUCAGCUCAAUGAUGAGACGGUACAUCGAUGGCACAUAGUUGAAACACCAGAUGCUCUCGCACAUACACUUGGAUAGUUCAAAAAGAAGUUGUGCCGAACAAUGAGGACAUCACGAGCUUUCUUUACUAACUCCGGCGUUUCCGUAUAAUAAAAAAAUUCUAUCUUAAAGGAUCAAUAGCAGCAGUUCAGCCCCUUACAAAAUAAAUCAGUUGCUGACCAUUGGCAUUCAGCAAUCAUCUAUACUAAGCCAUAAGCGAAAAGCCGAAGAAGUAGCACUCAAUCGCAUAUCUAUCUAUGUGUUAGUAUGGAUGUACAUGUGUAUAUGUGUACGUGUUGCUGUGUUAUUACAACUAGUGGUGACAUAAACUAAAAAGCUGGCUGUCGCAAUGGCAACGAGUCUAUUUGGCUGUUGCGAUUGCUAUCAUAUUGAGCAAUGUAUACAUAAUUACUAUGCAAUGUACUUGUAAUGGUGUAUGCCCCGUAAAAACAAAAAAGUAACCCUCAAUAUGA